rnacentral:rRNA from 1 species
GAUGAACGCUGUCGGCGUGCCUAAUACAUGCAAGUCGAGCGAACGGACGAGAAGCUUGCUUCUCUGAUGUUAGCGGCGGACGGGUGAGUAACACGUGGAUAACCUACCUAUAAGACUGGGAUAACUUCGGGAAACCGGAGCUAAUACCGGAUGAUAUUUUGAACCGCAUGGUUCAAAAGUGAAAGACGGUCUUGCUGUCACUUAUAGAUGGAUCCGCGCUGCAUUAGCUAGUAGGUAAGGUAACGGCUUACCAAGGCAACGAUGCAUAGCCGACCUGAGAGGGUGGUAGGCCACACUGGAACUGAGACACGGUCCAGACUCCUACGGGAGGCAGCAGUAGGGUAUCUUCGGCAGUGGGCGAAAGCCUGACGGAGCAACGCCGCGUGAGUGAUGAAGGUCUUCGGAUCGUAAAACUCUGUUAUUAGGGGAGAACAGAUGUGGAAGUAACUGUGGACAUCGUGACGGUACCUAAUCAGAAAGCCACGGCUAACUACGUG